CGUCUCCUGUAAGUGAAGCGUGAUGAGGACUGAAAAAAAGUAAGGAAGUUUCCGAAUCCACACUGCCGAGAAAAGCCGCUAUUGCGUUAUGUGUACCCGUACCGUAAACCGACACAGGUAGAUGAGGAGAAAAUCCACAGGCCGACGGGAGAAGUGUUGUUAAGGAACUCGGCAAAAUGACCCCGUAACUUAGGGAGAAGGGGAGCCACGAAAGUGGUCACAGAAAAGAGGCUCAAGCAACUGUUUAGCAAAAACACAGGUCUCUGCUAAACCGAAAGGUGAAGUAUAGGGGCUGACACCUGCCCGGUGCUGGAAGGUUAAAAGGAGAGGUAAGGAGCAAUCCGAAGCUUUGAAUUCAAGCCCCAGUAAACGGCGGCCGUAACUAUAACGGUCCUAAGGUAGCGAAAUUCCUUGUCAGGUAAGUUCUGACCCGCACGAAAGGCGUAAUGAUUUGAGCACUGUCUCGACAACACGCCCGGUGAAAUUGAAGAACCAGUGAAGAUACUGGUUACCCGCAACAGGACGGAAAGACCCCAUGGAGCUUUACUGCAGCCUGAUACUGGGAUUCGAUGAUGUAUGUACAGGAUAGGAGGGAGACUAUGAGACUUGGACGCCAGUCUAGGUGGAGUCGCCGGUGGGAUACCUCUCUUAUAUCAUUGAAUUUCUAACCUGUGCCCGUAAUCCGGGCAAGGGACAAUGUUAGUCGGGCAGUUUGACUGGGGCGGUCGCCUCCUAAAGAGUAACGGAGGCGCUCGAAGGUCACCUCAGAAUGAUUGGAAACCAUUCAAAGAGUGUAAAGGCAAAAGGUGGCUUGACUGCGAGAGCGACGGCUCGAGCAGGUACGAAAGUAGGACUUAGUGAUCCGGUGGUAAUAAGUGGGAAUGCCAUCGCUCAACGGAUAAAAGCUACCCUGGGGAUAACAGGCUUAUCUCCCCCAAGAGUUCACAUCGACGGGGAGGUUUGGCACCUCGAUGUCGGCUCGUCGCAUCCUGGGGCUGUAGUCGGUCCCAAGGGUUGGGCUGUUCGCCCAUUAAAGCGGCACGCGAGCUGGGUUCAGAACGUCGUGAGACAGUUCGGUCCCUAUCCGUCGCGGGCGUAGGAAAUUUGAGAGGAUCUGCUCCUAGUACGAGAGGACCAGAGUGGACUUACCGCUGGUGUACCAGUUGUUCUGCCAAGAGCAUCGCUGGGUAGCUAUGUAGGGAAGGGAUAAACGCUGAAAGCAUCUAAGUGUGAAGCCCACCUCAAGAUGAGAUUUCCCAUGAUUUUAUAUCAGUAAGAGCCCUGAGAGAUGAUCAGGUUGAUAGGUUAGAAGUGGAAGUGUGGUGACACAUGUAGCGGACUAAUACUAAUAGCUCGAGGACUUAUCCAA
rnacentral:rRNA from 1 species